AGAAUCCUAAAAUAUUACUGCUGGACGAAGCCACAAGUGCUUUGGAUGCUGAGAGUGAACACUUGGUUCAGGAUGCACUUGAGAAGCUGAUGGUAGGACGUACUGUGAUCACCAUAGCCCACCGCCUGUCCACCAUUAAGAAUGCAGACAGGAUAGCGGUGUUGGACGGAGGGAAAGUUGUAGAACUUGGUUCAUACUCUGAGCUCACUCAGUUAUCUAAUGGAGUGUUCAGGAAACUGGUGGAAAGACAGGCCAUUGUGAUUGAUGAUGAGAGUCUACAGAGCUGAUGUCUGCAUUGGCUUUAAGCAGUUGCCUUCGGGUGUCUUGCAUUUGGACAUUUUCUAUUUAAAUAGUGGUUUUUAUAGUCAAGUUUUACUGCUGGCAUUGGUUUUUAUUUGCUUUUCAGCAAAUUAGUACUCCAUUUGAGGUAAUAUGGUUAUCAAUCAUAAUCAUGGCAACUGAGAAUUUUAAUUUUACUACUAGCAACACAAACAGUAAAUUAAUGCUCCAUUUGGUGCAGUAGUAUAUUUAUGCAACCAUGGUAACCAAUGAUUUAUUAUAUAAUAGGAUAACUGCAAGGUUGGAGAAUAGGAAAUGGUUUGUAUUAUGUAAAAUUGUAAGGAUUGAAGUAACGUACGUAGAUAUGAUAAUGAUCAAAAUAAUUCAUGCUGAUAGUAUAAGACCUUGUUUUAGUUAAUUUAAAAGGGAAGUAUCUGAAACAGAUUUAAAUAAAAGAUAGUUAAAAAUAUUUUGCAAGAAAUGUUUCCGAGUGGUUGUGUAACAUCAAGUGAAUAAACUUGUGAUUUUUGAUACGA